ensembl:lncRNA
GGGAUGGUAGAGUAGGGGGUAGGGAUGGUAGAGUAGGGGGUAGGGAUGGUAGAGUAGGGGGUAGGGAUGGUAGAGUAGGGGGUAGGGAUGGUAGAGUAGUGGGUAGGGAUGGUAGAGUAGUGGGUAGGGACGGUAGAGUAGUAGGUAGGGAUGGUAGAGUAGUGGGUAGGGAUGGUAGAGUAGUAGGUAGGGAUGGUAGAGUAGUGGGUAGGGAUGUUAAAGUAGUGGGUAGGGAUGGAUAGUAGUAGGUAGGGAUGGUAGAGUAGGGGUAGGGAUGGUAGAGUAGUGGGUAGGGAUGGUAAAGUAGUGGGUAGGGAUGGUAGAGUAGUGGGUAGGGAUGGUAUAGUAGUGGGUAGGGAUGGUAGAGUAGGGGGUAGGGAUGG